rnacentral:rRNA from 1 species
CACGGGGGGCCUACGGGAGGCAGCAGUGGGGAAUUUUGGACAAUGGGCGAAAGCCUGAUCCAGCAAUGCCGCGUGUGUGAAGAAGGCCUUCGGGUUGUAAAGCACUUUUGUCCGGAAAGAAAUCCUUGGCUGUAAUACAGUCGGGGGAUGACC